GUAUGCGAUUGUCACUGCUGUCCUUUCAUCUGUGCAUGAAUCUUUCCUCUGUGUCCCUCGGUGUUUGCCCUUUUGAAAAAGUCAUGCUUUCCAUCCCUUUUCUAAGCCCGACGUUCCGCUUGCUGUCAGGGUAGGUCCACAUUGGCCUUGUUUACCCAGCAGGCCGGUGUCUGCGAGCGAUUCCCGGGGAGAGGGUCCCAGGCGGGCAGGGGCGUCGCAGGGCUGACGGCGCUGCUCUCCCACCAGACCUGAGCGAGGAGCCGGUGGGAAACUCCCUGCUACACCAGCUGUGCAGCUGCACGGAGGCCUUCUUCCUGGGCCUGCGCGUCAAGUGCCUGCCGUCGGUGGCAGCCGCGUCCAUCCGCUGCUCCUCGCGGCCCAGCCGGGACUCUGACAGGCUCCAGCUCCACACAGACGGCAUCCUGUCCUUCUUGAAGAACAACAAGCCAGGGGACGCGCUGUGUGUGCUGGGCCUCACACUGUCUGACCUGUACCCCCACGAGGCCUGGAGCUUCACCUUCAGCAAGUUCCUUCCAGGGCACGAAGUGGGCAUCUGCAGCUUCGCCCGGUUCUCAGGGGAAUU
rnacentral:sRNA from 1 species